rnacentral:SRP_RNA from 1 species
CAGGAGGUGUAGGUGGGGAGCUACCGGUUCCCUGUAGCACAAACCCGGUUUAUGGUGCACCGAAAGCCUUAGGACGGUAUGGGCUUCGUAAGCUAUUCCAAAUUCCCAACUGAGAAGCUUCGUCUUGUAGGGUUGGCUGCCUAUUGAACAUGGUGAGGCGAGGAAUCGAGCAACCAUAAGAUAGUUAUGCCAAUGCUUACAAACCAACGGAGUGGAGAAGGGAGUUUGGGUAUAAUAGUUUAUGGGUUUAUGCCAACCUUUGGUGACCUCCUG